GAAGACUUUUACAGAAGCGUUUCUUUUCAUAAUUUUUCACUCCGGCCAGAGUAACAGGAUCCUCUGGAGCUUCUAACUAACUGCUCACAGACUUCUUCAUGGGUUCACCUUGACACGGAGUGAUUUCAGCCCCUCAGUGUGUGUAACGCAGCCAGACUGAAUUGUGGGAAAUGAGGCAGACGACCAGUAAAUAACAGUUGCCAUGAUGCCCCUCAGCUCCCGCCACACUGCCACCCAAACGCCCGCCUGCGGAAACAGCGGCUGGACUCCACAAUUUCUGCACUUAACACUUGGCUUGGCGCAUGACAGGUGCUUAUUUUCCUGCACCGGGGGCUUGUGCAUUUGAAUAGAGCCGCUGCUCUGGCCAUCAUCAUCCUCACUGUAACACCAUCAUCAUCUGAGACCGAUCAUGUAGCCAGACAACCUUAAUCUGACCUUUACACCUUUCAUCUUUACGUGUGUAUAAGAGAAGAGCUAUGGGGAAAAAUGGAAAUGUUCUGCUCUCAUCAUCAGAUGUUGAACAGUGUCCUUUUGGGCCUCGACACAAACUAAAGCGUAGACACGUCAUCGCUCAGCUGUUAACAUACAUGACUUAAUCAACUCUCAUUAAAACUGCUCAGACAGCUCAUCAUAAGCUCAUCAAGCUGAACCUCAUCACUCCAGCAGUAAUAUAUUUCACAGCUGUAAGCAGGUUUAGAAAUGAAAAUCUACUAUGGCGAGUAACACAUAUCAACUCACUAGCCAAUACUGGUGGUUUACGUUUGAUUAA